GAGGAAUUAGUUAAUAUAUAACAUCGCCUUGUCAAGACGAAAUGAUGGGUUAAACCCCCAUAUUCCUCU
rnacentral:tRNA from 1 species